rnacentral:piRNA from 1 species
UGGAAUUUUAUGUGUGGAUGGACAAGUUC